rnacentral:rRNA from 1 species
GCCUAUUUCUUGGUUGAGCUCUAGAGAUAGAGCCUUCCCCUUCGGGGGACAAAGUGACAGGUGGUGCAUGGUUGUCGUCAGCUCGUGUCGUGAGAUGUUGGGUUAAGUCCCGCAACGAGCGCAACCCUUAAGCUUAGUUGCCAUCAUUAAGUUGGGCACUCUAGGUUGACUGCCGGUGACAAACCGGAGGAAGGUGGGGAUGACGUCAAAUCAUCAUGCCCCUUAUGAUUUGGGCUACACACGUGCUACAAUGGACAAUACAAAGGGCAGCUAAACCGCGAGGUCAUGCAAAUCCCAUAAAGUUGUUCUCAGUUCGGAUUGUAGUCUGCAACUCGACUACAUGAAGCUGGAAUCGCUAGUAAUCGUAGAUCAGCAUGCUACGGUGAAUACGUUCCCGGGUCUUGUACACACCGA